UUCGGAGGUGACGAUAAUGGAAUGAGCGGCGGACGGGUGAGUAACACGUAGGCAACCUGCCUGUAAGACUGGGAUAACUCGUGGAAACGCGAGCUAAUACCGGAUAACACUUUUCAUCUCCUGAUGAGAAGUUGAAAGGCGGCUUUUGCUGUCACUUACAGAUGGGCCUGCGGCGCAUUAGCUAGUUGGUAAGGUAACGGCUUACCAAGGCGACGAUGCGUAGCCGACCUGAGAGGGUGAUCGGCCACACUGGGACUGAGACACGGCCCAGACUCCUACGGGAGGCAGCAGUAGGGAAUCUUCCGCAAUGGACGAAAGUCUGACGGAGCAACGCCGCGUGAGUGAUGAAGGUUUUCGGAUCGUAAAACUCUGUUGUUAGGGAAGAACAAGUGCCAUAGUAACUGAUGGCACCUUGACGGUACCUAACCAGAAAGCCACGGCUAACUACGUGCCAGCAGCCGCGGUAAUACGUAGGUGGCAAGCGUUGUCCGGAAUUAUUGGGCGUAAAGCGCUCGCAGGCGGUUCUUUAAGUCUGAUGUGAAAUCUUACGGCUCAACCGUAAACGUGCAUUGGAAACUGGAGGACUUGAGUGCA
rnacentral:rRNA from 1 species